GAGUUUGAUCGUGGCUCAGAUUGAACGCUGGCGGCAUGCCUUACACAUGCAAGUCGAACGGCAGCAUGAUCUAGCUUGCUAGAUUGAUGGCGAGUGGCGAACGGGUGAGUAAUACAUCGGAACGUGCCCUGUAGUGGGGGAUAACUAGUCGAAAGAUUAGCUAAUACCGCAUACGACCUGAGGGUGAAAGUGGGGGACCGCAAGGCCUCAUGCUAUAGGAGCGGCCGAUGUCUGAUUAGCUAGUUGGUGGGUAAAGGCCCACCAAGGCGACGAUCAGUAGCUGGUCUGAGAGGACGAUCAGCCACACUGGGACUGAGACACGGCCCAGACUCCUACGGGAGGCAGCAGUGGGGAAUUUUGGACAAUGGGCGAAAGCCUGAUCCAGCAAUGCCGCGUGUGUGAAGAAGGCCUCGGUUGUAAG
rnacentral:rRNA from 1 species